rnacentral:rRNA from 1 species
UACAGAGGUCCCAAGCGUUGUUCGGAUUCACUGGGCGUAAAGGGUGCGUAGGCGGCGAGGUAAGUCGGAUGUGAAAUCUCCGAGCUCAACUCGGAAAUGGCAUUGGAAACUACCUUGCUCGAGGGUUGGAGGGGGGACUGGAAUGCUUGGUGUAGCAGUGAAAUGCGUAGAUAUCAAGCGGAACACCAGUGGCGAAGGCGAGUCCCUGGACAACUCCUGACACUGAGGCACGAAGGCCAGGGGAGCAAACGGG